AGAGUUUGAUCAUGGCUCAGAACGUACGCUGGCGGCACGCCUAACACAUGCAAGUCGAACGAAGUAGCAAUACUUAGUGGCAGACGGGUGAGUAACAUGUAGGUAUCUGCCCUUUGGCCUGGAAUAACACGAGGAAACUUGUGCUAAUACCGGAUAAGUCUUUACGGAGAAAGCUUUAUGCACCAUUGGAUGAGCCUGCACUUGAUUAGUUUGUUGGUGGGGUAAUGGCCUACCAAGACUGUGAUCAAUAGCUGAUUUGAGAGGAUGAUCAGCCACAUUGGGACUGAGACACGGCCCAAACUCCUACGGGAGGCAGCAGUGGGGAAUCUUGCACAA
rnacentral:rRNA from 1 species